GUCCUCAUAGCUCAGUAGGAUAGAGCAACCCCCUCCUAAGGGGUAGGUCGGUGGUUCGACUCCACUUGGGGACGCCA
rnacentral:tRNA from 1 species